CCUACGGGUGGCUGCAGUGGGGGAUAUUGGGCAAUGGGCGCAAGCCUGACCCAGCAACGCCGCGUGAAGGAAGAAGGCUUUCGGCUUGUAAAGUUCUGUUCUCAGGGACGAAGCAAGUGAUGGUACCUGAGGAAUAAGUCACGGCUAACUACGUGCCAGCAGCCGCGGUAAGACGUAGGUGGCAAGCGUUAUCCGGAUUUACUGGGUGUAAAGGGCGAGUAGGCGGGAAAGCAAGUCAGAUGUGAAACCCAUGGGCUCAACCUGUGGCCUGCAUUUGAAACUGUUUGUCUUGAGUGCUGGAGAGGCAGACGGAAUUCCUAGUGUAGCGGUGAAAUGCGUAGAUAUUAGGAGGAACACCAGUGGCGAAGGCGGUCUGCUGGACAGCAACUGACGCUGAGGCGCGAAAGCGUGGGGAGGAAACAGGAUUAGAUACCCUAGUAGUC
rnacentral:rRNA from 1 species